ACGUAGGGUGCAAGCGUUAAUCGGAAUUACUGGGCGUAAAGCGUGCGCAGGCGGCUUUGUAAGUCUGACGUGAAAGCCCCGGGCUCAACCUGGGAAUUG
rnacentral:rRNA from 1 species